GAAAAUACGGAGCUCUCUGCACUUGUAAGUUGGUUUCGAUAAUGAGACAUCUGAUCUGACGAUCGAUUCUGUUAGGCAUAAUCGAUACUAUUGAAACUAUUUAGAAACUAAAUUUCAUAAUUUUUUGAUAUUAUUUACUAUAUAAGGUCUCAAAAAUGACUAUUUUAACGGUUGAUCUGGCAUGUUUGUAAAUUCAAUGGUGUAGAACAGUCUAAAUUAUAUAAAAUUUUAUUAAAAAAAUUUAUUUAAUAUCAAUAGUAAAUCAAUAUUUCUUAUUUAAAAUUUGAAUCUUUUAUCAUUGUUUUUAAUGAGAUUUUUUUUUUCGUCCAUUCAUUUUUACACUACUUGUUCACUGGGCAAAUGAAAUUAAAAAAAAAUAAAAAUUGAUUUUUAUACAGUUCCAAUAGCGUAGACCAUACCUUAUGGAGCCGAUCAUCGAAUCGGAUGUCCCUCAUUGAAAACAACUUAUAAAUACGGAGGCCUCCGUACUUUCGAAAGAAUAGGAGCCUAGCUCUCGAUUUUGGUAUCUAAUUUUUUAAAAUUUUGAUUUUACUAUCUAAUUUUUUAAAUUAUUUGAUUUGAGUUAGUCAACCAACAGUUCUUUAACUCUAAAAUUUAAGUUAAUUAUUUAUNCUAGAGCUAUUAGUUCUACAAUCGAUCAUUAAGAUGAUCCUGAAUCUUUUGAUAAUUAGAAAAGUUUGAAAUAAUUGCAGUUAGACAGUAGAUCUCCUCAGCAUUAUGGUCGUUGAUAAAAGAGGGGAAAUUCUUAGUUGGUAAAAAUGUUUGGAACUUAUAUUAACUAUAAACCAUGUCGAUUUUGGGAGUAUGUCUCCUCUUGUGCUUUCGAAAGGACGAAGAUUUCCGUAUUUGUAAGUUAUUUUCGAUAAUGAGACAUCUGGUUUGACGAUCGGUUCUCUUAGGCAUAAUCGAUGCUAUUGGAACUAUUUAGAAAUCAAAUUUCAUAAUUUUUUUAUAUCAUUUAUUAUAUGAUCAAAAGCUCUCCAAAAUGGCUAUUUUAACGGUUGAUAUGGUAUGUUUUUAAAUUCAACGGUGUAGAACCGUCUAAAUUAUAUGAAACUUUAUUAGAAAAUUCUAUUUAACAUCAAUAGUAAAAUCAAUACUUCUAGUUUAAAAUUUGAAUCUUUUAUCGCUGUUUUUAAUGAAAUUUUUAUUUUCGGCCAUUCAUUUUUACACUACUCGUUCACUAGGCAAAUGAAAUUAAAAAAAAAAUAAAAAUUGAUUUUUACAUAGUUCCAAUAGCGUAGACCAUACCUAAUGGAGCCGAUCAUCGAAUCGGAUGUCCCUCAUUGAAAACAACUUAUAAGUACGGAGGCCUCUAUACUUUCGAAAGCAUAGGAGCCUAGCUCUCGAUUUUGGUAUCUAAUUAUUUAAAAUUUUGAUUUUACUAUCUAAUUUUUUAAAUUAUUUGAUUUGAGUUAGUCAACCAACAGUUCUUUAACUCUAAAAUUUAAGUUAAUUAUUUAUUUUAGUGAACUUAUAAUUAUGAGAAUUGUAUGAAAUAUGCUAACUACAACAGUAAAAAUAAACGAGGUAUUUAAAUUUUAAAGCAAAAGUACAAUUUUACUAAAUUAAAGUUUUAAACGACUGAGUAGCUAAAUUCAAAUAAUCCAUAGUUCAAAUAAAUUUUAUAUAUUUUUACCAUAUUAUUGGAUUGCAGUUAUCU
rnacentral:lncRNA from 1 species